UGAACCUAUCAGAGUUCUACAGAAUACAUAUUACUAGGAACUGUAUCUUUCCUCCUCCACAGACCACACCCCUCCUCUAGUCAUGUCUCAACCUGUCCAUCCAGUACCCAGUUCAUUAUUAAGGUGUAAAAUGAUGAACCUAUCAGAGUUCUACAGAAUACAUAUUACUAGGAACAGUAUCUUUCCUCCU